rnacentral:rRNA from 1 species
UACGUAGGGUGCGAGCGUUGUCCGGAAUUACUGGGCGUAAAGAGCUCGUAGGCGGUUUGUCGCGUCUGCUGUGAAAACUGGAGGCUCAACCUCCAGCCUGCAGUGGGUACGGGCAGACCAGAGUGCGGUAGGGGAGAUUGGAAUUCCUGGUGUAGCGGUGGAAUGCGCAGAUAUCAGGAGGAACACCGAUGGCGAAGGCAGAUCUCUGGGCCGUAACUGACGCUGAGGAGCGAAAGCAUGGGGAGCGAACAGG